UACGGGGGGGGCAAGCGUUGUUCGGAAUUACUGGGCGUAAAGGGCUCGUAGGCGGCCAACUAAGUCGGACGUGAAAUCCCUCGGCUUAACCGGGGAACUGCGUCCGAUACUGGAUGGCUUGAGUUCGGGAGAGGGAUGCGGAAUUCCAGGUGUAGCGGUGAAAUUCGUAGAUAUCGGGAGGAACACCGGUGGCGAAGGCGGCGACCUGGGUAGAUACUGACGCUGAGGUGCGAAAGCGUGGGGAGCAAACAGG
rnacentral:rRNA from 1 species